rnacentral:rRNA from 1 species
CCCUUAGAUGUUCUGGGCCGCACGCGCGCUACACUGAUGCAUUCAACGAGUUUUACCUUGGCCGAGAGGCCUGGGCAAUCUUUUAAACCUGCACCGUGAUAGGGAUAGAUUAUUGCAAUUAUUAAUCUUGAACGAGGAAUUCCUAGUAAACGCAAAUCAUCAAUUUGCAUUGAUUACGUCCCUGCCCUUUGUACACACCGCCCGUCGCACCUACCGAUUGAAUGGUCCGGUGAAGCCUCGGGAUUGUGGCCAGUUCACUUUAUUGGGAGUUGGCUGUGAGAACUUGUCUAAACCUUAUCAUUUAGAGGAAGGUGAAGUCGUAACA